GAUGAACGCUAGCUACAGGCUUAACACAUGCAAGUCGAGGGGAAACGGCAUUGAGUGCUUGCACUCUUUGGACGUCGACCGGCGCACGGGUGAGUAACGCGUAUCCAACCUUCCCAUUACUGUGGGAUAACCUGCCGAAAGGCAGACUAAUACCGCAUAGUCUUCGUUGACGGCAUCCGAUAUGAAGUAAAGAUUUAUCGGUAAUGGAUGGGGAUGCGUCUGAUUAGCUUGUUGGCGGGGUAACGGCCCACCAAGGCGACGAUCAGUAGGGGUUCUGAGAGGAAGGUCCCCCACAUUGGAACUGAGACACGGUCCAAACUCCUACGGGAGGCAGCAGUGAGGAAUAUUGGUCAAUGGACGGAAGUCUGAACCAGCCAAGUAGCGUGCAGGAUGACGGCCCUAUGGGUUGUAAACUGCUUUUGUAUGGGGAUAAAGUUAGGGACGUGUCCCUAUUUGCAGGUACCAUACGAAUAAGGACCGGCUAACUCCGUGCCAGCAGCCGCGGUAAUACGGAAGGUCCAGGCGUUAUCCGGAUUUAUUGGGUUUAAAGGGAGCGUAGGCUGGAGAUUAAGUGUGUUGUGAAAUGUAGACGCUCAACGUCUGAAUUGCAGCACAUACUGGUUUCCUUGAGUACGCACAACGUUGGCGGAAUUCGUCGUGUAGCGGUGAAAUGCUUAGAUAUGACGAAGAACUCCGAUUGCGAAGGCAGCUGACGGGAGCGCAACUGACGCUUAAGCUCGAAGGUGCGGGUAUCGAACAGG
rnacentral:rRNA from 1 species